GAUGAACGCUGGCGGCGUGCCUAAUACAUGCAAGUCGAGCGAACAGACGAGGAGCUUGCUCCUCUGACGUUGGCGGCGGACGGGUGAGUAACACGUGGAUAACCUACCUAUAAGGCUGGGGUAACUUCGGGAAACCGGAGCUAAUACCGGAUAAUAUAUUGAACCGCAUGGUUCAAUAGUGAAAGCCGGUUUUGCUGUCACUUAUAGAUGGAUCCGCGCCGCAUUAGCUAGUUGGUAAGGUAACGGCUUACCAAGGCGACGAUGCGUAGCCGACCUGAGAGGGUGAUCGGCCACACUGGAACUGAGACACGGUCCAGACUCCUACGGGAGGCAGCAGUAGGGAAUCUUCCGCAAUGGGCGAAAGCCUGACGGAGCAACGCCGCGUGAGUGAUGAAGGUCUUCGGAUCGUAAAACUCUGUUAUUAGGGAAGAACAAAUGUGUAAGUAACUAUGCACGUCUUGACGGUACCUAAUCAGAAAGCCACGGCUAACUACGUG
rnacentral:rRNA from 1 species